CCUACGGGGGGCUGCAGUGGGGAAUAUUGGACAAUGGGGGCAACCCUGAUCCAGCCAUGCCGCGUGUGUGAAGAAGGCCCUCGGGUUGUAAAGCACUUUCAGUGAGGAAGAACGCCUGGUGGUUAAUACCCAUCAGGAAAGACAUCACUCACAGAAGAAGCACCAGCUAACUCCGUGCCAGCAGCCGCGGUAAUACGGAGGGUGCGAGCGUUAAUCGGAAUUACUGGGCGUAAAGCGCGCGUAGGUGGCUUGAUAAGCCGGUUGUGAAAGCCCCGGGCUCAACCUGGGAACGGCAUCCGGAACUGUCAAGCUAGAGUGCAGGAGAGGAAGGUAGAAUUCCCGGUGUAGCGGUGAAAUGCGUAGAGAUCGGGAGGAAUACCAGUGGCGAAGGCGGCCUUCUGGACUGACACUGACACUGAGGUGCGAAAGCGUGGGUAGCAAACAGGAUUAGAUACCCUAGUAGUC
rnacentral:rRNA from 1 species